GACGAACGCUAGCGGCGUGCUUAACACAUGCAAGUCGAACGGAAAGGCCCUGCUUUUGUGGGGUGCUCGAGUGGCGAACGGGUGAGUAACACGUGAGUAACCUGCCCUUGACUUUGGGAUAACUUCAGGAAACUGGGGCUAAUACCGGAUAGGAGCUCCUGCUGCAUGGUGGGGGUUGGAAAGUUUCGGCGGUUGGGGAUGGACUCGCGGCUUAUCAGCUUGUUGGUGGGGUAGUGGCUUACCAAGGCUUUGACGGGUAGCCGGCCUGAGAGGGUGACCGGCCACAUGGGGACUGAGAUACGGCCCAGACUCCUACGGGAGGCAGCAGUGGGGAAUAUUGCACAAUGGGCGGAAGCCUGAUGCAGCAACGCCGCGUGCGGGAUGACGGCCUUCGGGUUGUAAACCGCUUUCGCCUGUGACGAAGCGUGAGUGACGGUAAUGGGUAAAGAAGCACCGGCUAACUACGUG
rnacentral:rRNA from 1 species